UUAGGAGGAUAGAUGGAGGGAAUGUUAGGAGGAUAGAUGGAGGGAAUGUUAGGAGGAUAGAUGGAGGGAAUGUUAGGAGGAUAGAUGGAGGGAUGAAAGGGAAAGAAGGAGGGAGGGAGAACAAGGCAAGGACAUACGACAAACAGCUGGACAAAACCAGCCUCCUGACAUGCUGGUAAAGGCAAUUUGUUGCAUUGUUCUAGACUUAGCUGUGCUGUUUGUCUCAAACCAUGACUGCUCAGGCCCUCUCCGUUCCCUUUCUCUCUCCCUCUCUGUUCUCUUUCUCUCUCUACUCACUUUCUAUGUGUGUGUCUCUCUCUAACUCUUUCUAUUUGACUCAUUCUCUCUCUUUCUCCCUCUCUCUGUCACACACCCCCACAUGCGCGCACACACACAGCAUACCAUACAUCUGACUUCAAGGGCGGUGUUGGCGUCGGCAAGAACAGGAUAUGAGAGCGUGUCUCUCUAAAAACCUUCCCCUCCAGAUGAGAACAAAGGUAGAGAAUGUUCCAGAUUCCCUGGCCGCUGCAGUCUAGGAACAUGUGGAGCCAAGAGUUGGCCAACGAGCAGUCCUUAUCUUUUCCCCCUUCUUUCCAUGCAUUUUCUCUCUGUUGUCUAGCUUGUCCAUCUCUGUUUUUGGCCUCUUGGUAAGCUAGCUUUUUGUUUCAUACUAUUAUCUCUCUGUUGUCUAGCUUGUCCAUCUCUGUUUUUGGCCUCUUGGUAAGCUAGCUUUUUGUUUCAUACUAUUAUCUCUCUGUUAGUGCAUCUGGUUCAAUCUCCUUAUCUUGUUGUCUUGUCACUCUUCUCAUUAUUUCUCCCCUCUUCUGUCUAGCAUCCCUCUUAAAACACACACAAAGACACAAACAUAGAGGUAAAUAGAGACAAAUACACACACACAAACACACAGAGACAGAGAGCCACACACACACAUACACACACACAUCCCUCAGACAGGAUUAUCCCACUCUCACAAGUUGAUCCUCUCCGGUAAGCACUGCCAGUCCCCUGUGAGCAUGUAACAGAAGCACUGCAGUCAGGGCAAGGCUGUGACCUAGAGAGUAGUGUGUUUGUUUCCUCUGUGUGUUUGUGUGUGUCUCCCGCUGUGUGUUUGUGUGUGUGUGUGUGUGUGUGUCUCCCGCUGUGUUUGUGUGUGUCAGAUCACAGGCCAAGGUCUCCUACCUGAUCCACUCUGAGGGAAUCGGCUUGCGAGUACAUUAAGAGAUUGCGGUGGGGCGCCGAGCUGAGGCUCACUGGCUCGAUUUAAAGACAUACACACAUAAUCCUGGCUGCUCUGCUCCACCUAACAAGGAUACACGUGGCAGGUGUGUCUUUCAGGGACUGUGUGUGUGUGUGAGUCGUCUCUGAACUUUACCCUACCUAUGCCCUCUCAGGCGUGCCCCUGUCUUUGGGCACCCUUACCCGCCCUAAUGUCACUUCAUCUGCCAACAGGAUAAAGAUAGAGAGGGGUGCACAGAGACGAGAGAGAGAGAGAGAGGGUGCACAGAGACGAGAGAGAGAGAGAGGGGUGCACAGAGACGAGAGAGAGAGAGGGGUGCACAGAGACGAGAGAGGGGUGCACAGAGGUUAUCCCACACCAUAAUGCCAUCCUGCCCAGCCUGAUCACACAAAGCACAGUCAAAGCACACCAACACCUAACCAUGCACUUUAACUAUGGAGGCUUGAGAUCUGCAAGUGUAUGGUAUGUGUUUUGGUAUGCUAUAAAAUGCUAUGUAUAUUAAGGUAUGCUACGUAAUUCCGUUGUAUGUUACUUGGACUGUGUUCAUUUUAAUGUGAUAAUAAAUUGAAUUGCACUGAGACAAAA